CAAGAUAAUCAGACGGUUGCGUGGAGUAAUUCACGAGGAAAGUCCGAACACCACAGAACAGGGCGCCGGCUAACUACCGGUGAAGGCGACUUUAAGGAAAGUGGAACAGAAAUAAACCGCCGUAGCAAUACGGUAAGGAUGGAAAGGUAGGGUAAGAGCCUACCGGUGUUGCGGUAACGCGACGCGUCAAUCUAAACCCCGCCCGGUGCAAGAUAGCGGUAGAUAUCAGUUGUUCGCUGUCUACCCAAAUCGCUCGAACGUAUCGGAAACGGUACGUCUAGAUAGAUAACCGUCAAAUACAGAAUUCGGCUUACAGAUUAUCUUGUUUU
rnacentral:RNase_P_RNA from 1 species